UACGUAGGGUGCGAGCGUUAAUCGGAAUUACUGGGCGUAAAGCGUGCGCAGGCGGUCUGUUAAGACCGAUGUGAAAUCCCCGGGCUUAACCUGGGAACUGCAUUGGUGACUGGCAGGCUUUGAGUGUGGCAGAGGGAGGUAGAAUUCCACGUGUAGCAGUGAAAUGCGUAGAGAUGUGGAGGAAUACCCAUGGCGAAGGCAGCUAACUGGGCAUUAUCUGACGCUGAGGCGCGAAAGCGUGGGUAGCAAACAGG
rnacentral:rRNA from 1 species